UUUUAAAACUCUCUAUAAAAGAAACUCCUCAACUUCAACACCUUCUUCACUCAAAAACAAAGCUUCCUUUUUGUCAUCACAAUAACAAAAUCAAACACAAAGCACAAAAAGGUCCUUCCAAUGGCUAUGCUUCCAUGCAAACGCAUCCUCGUCGUCCUCAUCCUCGUCCUUCUUUGUUGUUUCUCAAACAAAGCUAUAGCAGCAAGAAGUUUGGGAAUACCUCAGCUUAAAAGUGAUGUUCAUAAUCAGAAAGUUAUUAAUAAUGAUGAUCUUAAAGUUCAUGAUGAAGAACAUUUCUCAAGCACUGAUGAUUUGGGUGCAAUGGAUUAUACUCCAGCCUCCAAGAAGCCUCCAAUCCACAACUAGAAUUUUAUUUGUAAAAAUCCAAACACUUUUACUUCUUUAUUAUUAAUUUGUAUGAUAUUUUACAUCUGCCUUUCUCUUUUUGUUUUUGGUUCAAAUGAAAGCUUCAAGUAAUGAAUUAUACAGAAAUGGAAGAUAUGAGCAAAUUGUGAAACAAUGUGGGUUUCAUACAUGUGCAACUGUUUCAAUAUUGUCUCUUUUCUUUUUUAAUUUUUAUUUUGAAGUUAGAUUGAUUGUCAAUAGAAGAUUUAUGUCGGCAUAAAA